rnacentral:tRNA from 1 species
AAGGGUAUAGCUCAGAGGUAGAAUGCAUGCUUAGCAUGUACCAGGUCCUGGGUUCAAUCCCUAGUACCUCUA